rnacentral:rRNA from 1 species
UACGUAGGGUGCAAGCGUUGUCCGGAAUUACUGGGCGUAAAGAGCUCGUAGGUGGUUUGUCACGUCGUCUGUGAAAUUCCACAGCUUAACUGUGGGCGUGCAGGCGAUACGGGCUGACUUGAGUACUGUAGGGGUAACUGGAAUUCCUGGUGUAGCGGUGAAAUGCGCAGAUAUCAGGAGGAACACCGAUGGCGAAGGCAGGUUACUGGGCAGUUACUGACGCUGAGGAGCGAAAGCAUGGGUAG